rnacentral:lncRNA from 1 species
CAGUUUAAUUAUUUAUUUAGCUUUAAUACCGUAAUAGGAAAUAGGGUGAGGGGUCCUUACCUAUUUCGGGGUUUGAAUUCGACUCUACAGUGCGCUUACAGGCUGUCCCUAAUUUUUCUGAAUUUUUUUUUCGGGAAACUGAAACGCACUACCGGUACCUGCACGUGCCCCAAAAAUUCCAAAUCAGACCUAGGGCCCCUUUCGGCCAAUAUCACAAUUCCGGCACGGCGGCUCCGCCGUGCUCUGGUGACAGCACCGCCGCUUGCAGCGGAGAUUUGCCUCGGGUUUGUCAUUUUCGACCAUUUUCGACCGAAUUCGGCCACACUUGCAUCGGUCCUUGCAAUAAAACAACCAUAGGGCCCUCGGUGGGCCAAAAAAUCACGAAAAACUGAAACUUACCGGCGGCGGUGCUCUCGGGUGCGGCGGCUCCUCCGGCGUGAGUCGUGUUUUGAUGUUUGGCUCCGAUCAACCUGUAGAGAAAAGAACGGUGAUCACAGUG